UCAUUUGACUACAAAUACAAAGUGAGGGCGACUUAAUCGUUUGGAGCAAGCUUAAUCGUCUUCCUCUUCGCAUCAACUUUUCCAAUGUGGUUCCUCCGAACACUUGUUUUCCUGACAUUAACAGGAUCUUAACCGUUUUUCUCUGGUGCUCCAAGAAUAAAUUAGAUUGAUUUCCAGAAAUUGGUGAUAGCGGGAAGAAGACGAUGAUGUUGGAGGGCAAGCUUCAUGGCCGUUCUCCUUCUCAUGCUCUCCAUUUUUUUCUUCAGUUAUCUAUUCUACAAACCCACAUUAUCCCUACUCAUAAUUUCCAUCCGAUGAUCAAUUGCACCUUCACUGUUCAUCUCAUCCCAUCUAGCCUGCUGCUUCCCUUCUUUAUCGAACGCUUCACUUAUCUGAGUAGCUUCUCCUCUUCCGUCUUUGUUUCUUGGAACCGAAACCUCUCACCCCCAAUAUCAACCCCUCUGAAGCGAAGACUUGAAAUAUUCUUUCGUCUGAUCUCAGCAAAUCAAACGCCCGGAAUCUCGAAACAAAGCAGAGAAAUCAAGAAUGAUGUUCUUCGUGGUUUUCCCAUAUAUUAGUGUAUUCAUCGGCAUCUCUGCGUUCACCCUAAUCGACACCUUUCUCCUGCUCUUGCGCAGGACCUGUCAUCACAUGUUAUGGGAAAGAAAGAGAAGAAAUUUUGUUUAUAUUCAGUUCUGGUGAUGGAACUACUCAUGGAAGAAGACACACUCUGAACCACAAUUCUCAGGGAGUAUCAUCAUUGCUCUCACACACAAAGAACAAAAGCUUUUCUAUAUAUGAAUGAAUAAUGAUUCAGUCAAAAGUAGCAAAAUAAACCAGAAAACAGCUGAUGGAUGAAAUAGUUGGAGAAACUUAUGAAAAGUGCAAGGGUGCUUCCAAUGGUAGUGGAUAAGGCAAGGGUAUUAAAGAAAUAGUUUCUACUAUAAAUAUUGUCGAGAAGAGUGUUUCAAGCAACAAUGGCACUUGUUUUAAAGAUAAGAAACUCUCAAUACCAUGGUUUGAGUAAUGCAAGUGGAUUCCUUGAACAUGCCUUCAUUGAGAAGCUUCUGUUUUGGGUGUUUUAUGAAUGUCCAAAAGGAUGUUGCCCUGAAACCAUGGUGGGCCCCUUUAAACCCAACCUCAUCUCGAAACCAACAUCUCCAAAGGUUAAUUUCUUGAAACCAAUUACAUCAAUAUUUAUCCAAAUAUAUAGAAACCAAUUUUGAUAAGACUUAUUAGUUUUCUAUUCAAGAAAAAAGAUUGCACUGUUGCAUUGUGUUUUCAGUUUUUCCCUUAUUAAAGUUAUGCUUCCAGAACUCUUAUUUAUUACAACAUUUUAAUUUAGAAAAGUUUACCCAUUACAUUGAUUAUGUACGGCUUUUGACUUAUGUUUUGUGGUAUGUGUUUGUAUGAGCUGUCAUCACAUGUUAUGGGAAAGACAAAGAAGAAAUUUUCUUUUACCAAUUAUAUUCAUAUUAAGUCUAAGUGGGGAUCCAGAAAUAGCAAAAUGCUUUCAUUUCAUACUCCAGUUUUUCUAUUGUAUGAUAUCAUGCACAAGGGCAACAACAUAAUCUUUUAUCUCCCUUGCUGAAACACUGAAGAUGAGUGAUGCAAGAGUAUUAUUGUCUGCUCUUCACAAUGUCAUUCGCACUUUAUCCAAGAAGCUGUCACAUGUUUUAUGGGAAAGACAGAAGAAAUUUUCUUUUACCAAUUAUAUUCAUAUUGAAUCCAAGGGAACUUCCCUAACGAGGGUUUCCGGGCCAGCUUACGCGCACCGACUAAUCCCCCGCUGCAAACAUGAGACUUUGCCUCAUGCCCUGGAGUCACUGCAGGCGAACCUCCAUGGUCACAAGGGCUGAGUAGUGCCAGGAUUUGAACAUGGGUCAAUAGGUUAUCCACCAUAUCUUCCACAUGCCUUACCAAGUCACCACAACCCAAGUGGUGACUUCCAAUCAUUGCAUUCUACUUUCUGUUUUAUUAUUAUUAGCACUUUGCAUUUAAAAAAAAUCAACCCAUUUUUAGAAAUGUACUCUUACUUUCCAAUCUGUUACACUAUUGAAACAUCAAAGUUUUUUUUUCUUCA